rnacentral:piRNA from 1 species
UGAAAGAAAGAUCAGUAUGAAGAUUAGUCCU